UACGAAGGGGGCUAGCGUUGUUCGGAUUUACUGGGCGUAAAGCGCACGUAGGCGGAUCGUUAAGUCGGGGGUGAAAUCCUGGAGCUCAACUCCAGAACUGCCUUCGAUACUGGCGAUCUUGAGUCCGGAAGAGGUGAGUGGAACUCCUAGUGUAGAGGUGGAAUUCGUAGAUAUUAGGAAGAACACCAGUGGCGAAGGCGGCGAUCUGGGUCGAUACUGACGCUGAGGUGCGAAAGCGUGGGGAGCAAACAGG
rnacentral:rRNA from 1 species